AGUUUGAUCCUGGCUCAGGACGAACGCUGGCGGCGUGCCUAAUGCAUGCAAGUCGCACGCACCCGCUUCGGCGGGUGAGUGGCGCACGGCUGAGUAACACGUGGGAACCCGCCCCCCGGUGGGGGAUAACGCGACGAAAGUUGCGCUAAUCCCGCAUACGUCCCCAGGGAGAAAGCGCAGUGCGCGCCGGGGGAGGGGCCUGCGGCCCAUCAGGUCGUUGGUGGGGUAAGGGCCUACCAAGCCGAUGACGGGUAGCUGGUCUGGGAGGAUGACCAGCCAGACUGGGACUGAGACACGGCCCAGACUCCUACGGGAGGCAGCAGCAAGGAAUUUUCGGCAAUGGGCGCAAGCCUGACCGAGCAACGCCGCGUGCGGGAUGACGGCCUUCGGGUUGUAAACCGCUUUUCGGGGGGACGAUGAUGACGGUACCCCCGGAAUCAGCCCCGGCUAACUCUGUGCCAGCAGCCGCGGUAGGACAGAGGGGGCGAGCGUUGUCCGGAGUCACUGGGCGUAAAGCGCGCGCAGGCGGCAACCUUAGUGUCGUGUGAAAGCCCCCGGCUCAACCGGGGGAGGCCAUGGCAAACUGGGUCGCUCGAGCUGCGGAGAGGCCCCUCGAAUUGCCGGUGUAGCGGUGAAAUGCGUAGAGAUCGGCAGGAAGACCAAGGGGGAAGCCAGGGGGCUGGCCGCAGGCUGACGCUGAGGCGCGACAGCGUGGGGAGCAAACCGGAUUAGAUACCCGGGUAGUCCACGCCGUAAACGAUGACCACUCGGCGUGUGGCGACUAUUGACGUCGCGGCGCGCCCUAGCUCACGCGAUAAGUGGUCCGCCUGGGAACUACGAGCGCAAGCUUAAAGCUCAAAGGAAUUGA
rnacentral:rRNA from 1 species